rnacentral:lncRNA from 1 species
AUAAUAAUAAUGCUGAUCCUCCAGGAUAUUAAGGGGGUGUUUGGCCUAACUUUUAAAAAGCAUUUUUGAGCUGAAAAGUGAUUUUCGGUUCAAUAGAGUGUUUGACAACUCACUUUUAAAAUUUGAUUCUGCUUUUUAGAAUCAGAAAACUGAUUUUGAAGGCUCCAGAAUCAGAAGCAGAAAAAAGCUGCUUCUUGAAAUCUGAUUCUGAUUUCAGAUUUAAAUUUCAAAUUUUUAUUUUUAUUUUAAUUUCAAUAUUUAAAUUUAAAUUUAAAUUUAAUUUUUAAAUUUCAUAUUUAUUUUUGAAUUUUUAAAUUUUAACUUUUAAAUUUUAAAAUUUGAAAAAUAGAUUUCAAAUUUUACAUUUUAAAUUUUAAAUUUUAAUUUUAAAUUUCAAAUCUCAAAUUUUAGAUUUUCAAAUUUCAAAUUUCAAAUUUCAGAUAAAAUUUAAAAUUUGACAUUUUAGAUUUUAAAAUUUAAAUGUAAAAAUUUAAAAUUAUAAUUUUUAAUCUUCAAAUUAUAAAUUUUAAAAAAUUAAAAUUUGAAUAUUUAAAAUUUUAAAUAUUCAAAUUUUAAAUUUUAAAUUUUAAAUAUUCAAAUUUAAAUUUUAAAUUUUAAAUAUUCAAAUUUUAAAUUUUAAAUUUUAAAUAUUCAAUUUUUAAAUUUUAAAUUUUAAAUAUUCAAAUUUUAAAUUUUAAAUUUUAAUUCAUAAUUAUUUUAAAUUUAAAUUUUAAAAUUUAAUUUUUAAAUUUAAAAUUUAUAUAUUUUAAAUAUUAAUAUUUUAUAUUUCAUAAUUAUUUAUAUUUUAACAUUUAAUUUUAAAUUUUAAAUUUUAAAUUCUAAAUUUAAAGUUUGAAAUUUUAAUUUUAAUUUAUAUUUUUAUAUAUUAAAAUUUUAUAUUUUAAAAUUCAUAAUUAUAUAUAUUUUUAAAUUUAUAUUUAUAUUUUUAAAUUUUAAAUUUCAUAAUUAUUUUAAAAUUUAAAGUUGUAAAAAUUUAAAUUAUUUUUAAAAUUAAAAUAUCAAAAUUUAAAUUUUGUACAAUUUUGAAAUUUAAAAAUUUUAAUUUUAAUUGAAAUUUAAAUUUAGAUUUUAAAUUAUUUUAAAAUAAAUUUAAUAAAAAUAUUAAUUUAUACAAAAUCAAAAAAAAUUUGCCAAACAGUUUUUCAAAAUCACUAUAGAAAAAUUAUUUUUAUCUAAACUUCGCCAAACGUUCUACAGCUUUUAACCAAAAUCACUUCUCCAAACCAAAAUCACUUUUUCAUAAAUCACUUUUUCAUAAGCUCGGCCAAACAGACCCUAACACACCUUUAAAAUAUGACUUGAGUUUUACACUUGAUUCAUCGGCAGAUAAAUACUUAUUUUAUAUUAAUUAGUAGUGAUAUGUAGAACCGUUUGUAACCAUGAGAUGAGCAAUUAUGAAAUUGGUAAACUAACACUAAAUAAUUACCAUAGGUGCUAUUUAGGAGGCUAAGUUUUAGGAAAAAAGAAAAAGAACUUCCUAAAAACGAAGAAGAAGAAGAAGAAGAAGAAAUGAUAUUAGCUAGAAUUUCCAAAGUGGGUAAGAAGUGGAUUUGAAUGAUCUUAUUAGGUUGGUGAAUAUAUGGAUCACAUUUUGACUUUUGAAAAAUUACUACAGAUUUAGUUUUGCUGUACCUUUUGCCAAAGAGUGGCUUUUUUUAUUUUGAGAGAUAGGUAGCACGCCACCCGUUUCAUUUAUUUCAUUUAAAAAUAAAUUUAGCUGAAAAUGUAAAUUAAUUAGGAUUCAAACUUGAGAUCUCGAAUAUCAACCACCAAGUCUUUUGUCACUUGCCAAAGAGUGGCUUGAUUUGGUUAAUGAAGCACUAAAUAAC